UUUCCGUAGGUGAGCCUGCGGAAGGAUCAUUAUUGUAUAACCGAGGUGCGAGGGCUUUCGCUUAUCCGAAAGGUCGUGCACGCCCGAGUGCCCUCACACACAUCCAUCUGACCCCUAUGUGCACCACCGCUAGGGUCCCCUUUUAGCUGUUUCGGAGGGGGGCUUACGUUUUCACACAAACUUUUUAUGCAGUGUAGAAUGUAUUUUUUGUUUUUGCGAACACGCAAUCAAUACAACUUUCAACAACGGAUCUCUUGUCUCUCGCAUCGAGGAAGAACC
rnacentral:misc_RNA from 1 species